UGCCCUGUGCCCUCCCACACAGCAGGCGCUUUCCAGACCGUGUCAUGCUCUCUCCAGCAGGACAAGGGGAGGCUUGGUGUACCUAGUUCCCAAGAUGAAGGAACAGACUCCGAGAGGACACCACCAGUGGGCGACAGGGCCAGGACCAAGCUGAGCCUAUCUGCCUCCAAGACUAGGCCUGGGCAAGGCCUAUCUGUUGCCUCUGGGGUCUGGAACUCAGGCUGGAGCCUGCCUGGUGGGGGCUGUCUGCCCCCCAAGCUUCACAAGGCACAAGCCCCCUCCUACUGGAGUGUCUCUGCCGAUAGAGUAGCCUCACUGAUGGCCAUGAGGCCCCGGCGUGAGGGCUCGUGAAGGGGCUGUGACACCUGCCUGGCAACAAGGCCAACCCUCUUCUCUUGAGCUGUUUUAUGUUCGAGCUCAGCUAUUGCGUCGCGUGCCUCCGUCUGAGAGGCGGGGAGAUUGAGACCAGCUGCUGCUGCCUGAAUUCUCCCAGAGCUCGCCUGGUGACACCCCGCUCAGGUCGUCACACCAUCCUGGUAGGAAUCUCUCCCAGCAGCAGCGUUCAAGGCUGAGCAUUUACACCGGAUCUCCGGGGUCCUGGAAGGCCUCCGUCAUCCUCCAUCCCACGUGCCUAAGAGUGUUGGCACUCAGGUAGGAGUCAGGGUGGGUGGCAGGUCACCUCGUGCAGCAGGCCUGGGACUCAGACCCUGGCCCAGCAGCCGCCGAGCCCCAGGUGGAGGCCGUGCCACCCUCAGACUCAAGGUCCAGGCCCUCAUAGAUGGUGGGGAGUGAAGUGUGUUGGCUCAGCCGCCGGCGCAAGCCAACCAGCAGGGGUUGGGGCAAGGAGGCUACGUCCACAUUGUUGCCCAGGUCCACCCAGGCCAGCGCAGGAAACUUGGUGGGGUCCUUGACAGCCUCGGUGAACUCACGGGCAGUGGCCCUCGUCAGCCUAUUGCCGUUGAGCAGGAGUUGGGUGAGGCGGGGCAGUGUCCAGAGGCUGGGCAGCAGCAGGCGCAACAGCUCGUCACUCAGCCCUGUGAAGCUCAGGUCCAGCACCGUGAGCCCAGCUCCCUGGCUUCCCAGGUAGCGCAUGAUAUGCUGCACAUCACGCGCCGACAGCCGAAUCCCUGAGAGGUUCACGGUCUCCCCGGUCAGCUCUGUCAUCUGGAGGCUGCUCUUGAGGCUGUGGGAGGGUUGCAGGCAAGGAUGGACUGAGCCAGCGUCCAUGGCCCAGGCAGGCCCCACCAGCUGCAGACGGUCACCCAUCGGGGCAGCCCACAGUGGUGGCAGGACCCGGGCCCUACUGUCAGGCCAUACUGGGAUCAAACUGCUACUUCCUACAUGGGUGGCCUUGGUCAAUUCUUGGAACCUUUCUGAGCCUCAGUUUCUCCUUUGGUGAAAAGGAGACUUGGCUGAUAUGAGGAAUAAAGAUACAUGUGUUAAGGUU